rnacentral:piRNA from 1 species
UCUCAAAGGUUCAAAGCAGGCUGGGAGGUCU